rnacentral:rRNA from 1 species
AUUGAACGCUGGCGGCAGGCUUAACACAUGCAAGUCGAGCGAGCGGCGGACGGGUGAGUAAUGUCUGGGAAACUGCCUGGUGGAGGGGGAUAACUCCUGGAAACGGUAGCUAAUACCGCAUACCCUCGGAAUGGCCCAGAUGGGAUUAGCUAGUGGGUGGGGUAAGGGCGCACCUAGGCGACGAUCCCUAGCUGGUCUGAGAGGAUGACCAGCCACACUGGGAUGGAGACACGGCCCAGACUCCUACGGGAGGCAGCAGUGGGGAAUAUUGCACAAUGGGCGCAAGCCUGAUGCAGCCAUGCCGCGUGUAUGAAGAAGGCCUUCGGGUUGUAAAGUACUUUCAGCGGGGAGGCGUUACCCGCAGAAGAAGCACCGGCUAACUCCGUGCCAGCAGCCGCGGUAAUAC